rnacentral:rRNA from 1 species
ACGUACACUCCUGCGGGAGGCAGCAGUGGGGAAUUUUAGACAAUGGGCGAAAGCCUGAUCCAGCCAUGCCGCGUGCAGGAUGAAGGCCUUCGGGUUGUAAACUGCUUUUGUACGGAACGAAACGGCCUUUUCUAAUAAAGAGGGCUAAUGACGGUACCGUAAGAAUAAGCACCGGCUAACUACGUGCCAGCAGCCGCGGUAAUACGUAGGGUGCAAGCGUUAAUCGGAAUUACUGGGCGUAAAGCGUGCGCAGGCGGUUAUGUAAGACAGUUGUGAAAUCCCCGGGCUCAACCUGGGAACUGCAUCUGUGACUGCAUAGCUAGAGUACGGUAGAGGGGGAUGGAAUUCCGCGUGUAGCAGUGAAAUGCGUAGAUAUGCGGAGGAACACCGAUGGCGAAGGCAAUCCCCUGGACCUGUACUGACGCUCAUGCACGAAAGCGUGGGGAGCAAACAGGAUUAGAAACCCUGGUAGUCCC